rnacentral:rRNA from 1 species
UCCGUAGGCGGUGUGGCAAGUCGGAAGUGAAAUCUCUGGGCUUAACCCAGAGGCUGCUUCCGAAACUGCUGUGCUAGAGUGCGAGAGAGGCGAGUGGAAUUGCGGGUGUAGCGGUGAAAUGCGUAGAUAUCCGCAGGAACAUCCGAGGCGAAAGCGGCGCGCUGGAUCGCAACUGACGCUGAGGGACGAAAGCUAGGGGAGCAAACAGGAUUAGAUACCCUGGUAGUCCUAGCCCUAAACCAUCAGGACUUGGGGUUUGCCCUGUACGGGGCAAGUCCCGUAGCUAACGCGUUAAGUCCUGCGCCUGGGGAGUACGGUCGCAAGGCUGAA